rnacentral:lncRNA from 1 species
CCACCCCAGCAUGCCUCCCUAGGGAGCCCAUGGCAGCAAAAAGCUAAGCAGCAAAACAAUGCAAUAUUUUAAACAUUUUCCAUUUAAUGGUUGCAACUGUUUCAGUGGUCUUAUUUAUCGUUGUAACCCACCCUGAGACCUUGUGGGGAAGGGCAGGUAUGAAAUGUAAUAAAAUAAAUAUUUUUUUAAAAGUAAAAAAUAUUUAAAAACAUAAAGCGUUUCUAAAACCAGUUAUGGCUGAUUCGUCAGCUGUGACUGUUUCUGGAAUACAACAGCCAGAACGCUGUCAGAGGCAGAUUUAAGGCAACAUGACUGGUUCCCCUGCUCAGGGUGCCGAGCCGAGAGGGCAUCUUCCUGCCUCCUUCCCAAAGCCUAGUUAGCGCAUGCCCCGCUCCGGGAAGGAGACAGGAGGGAUUUUUUCCUUUUUCCUUUCUCCUUCUAUGUUAGAACUUCCCUGGCUUUUUUCUGGCCCAUGUUGGACCGGUCCAGAUAGUUAGCUUGGUGAAAACUUGACGUUUUCAUCCCCAAAAAAGUUUUUGAUUGAGGACUUCCGGGGGGCGGCGCGAACGGUAAUGGCGGUCUUCUCCCGAUCGGAGAAGAAGCUCCGCUGAAACCGGGUCGUCCGCUACGGCGAAGCGGAGACCCAAGGAGAAAAACCCCAGGCAGCAAGAGCCUGGGGUCCUGAGGCUCGGCGGGCGCCAAGAGCAGCCCUCCAGCUGCAGAAGGAGCCUCGUAAGAGGCUCCGGAGCGUGGAGGGGGGCUGCGGCGCUGUGAGCCGUUUCACAGUCAGCGGAGUGAAGCCGCGCUGCUGCUGCCGGUGAGCGCUGAACCCUUUUCCUGCUAAAAUUCGGAUCUGGCAGAAAACAACUUACUCGUGAGUAAAGACUGAAUCACUUGGAAUUACAAAUUUUAAAUGAGAAGGUUUAAAUUGACUUGAAUUUGGCUGAAAGCGGAGAGACGUGGAAACAGGAAGUCCGUCUUCCGCUGCCAUUGAACUUGGAAAAAAAGCAACUAAAGUGGAGGAGUGGAGGCUGAAAGAAAGAGAUUUUAAACUCCACACAGCCAAGCAUCUAUGGAACUUACAAUUUAAAGUAAAAUUAGCAAGUUAAAGAUUUGGACCUUUUAUUUGCACUUGACUUUCCCCCUUUUAUUGGAUUACAAAUUGGAAGGUGAAACCCAGAGUCAGGAUUGCUUGAGCACUGUAACAGUGGGCUGUCAGUGUUUGACUUGGAUACUGUAUAUUAGAAGUUGCAACAAUCUGAGGGUAUUGAGACCUUUUAAAUUUGAAACAUUCUUUUGGAGACAAAUAAGCACUGUCUGCAACAAAGUGAUUACUUUUAAACUCUGCUUAAUACUUAUAUUGGAAGGUUCUGGGACAUUAAAUUAGACUCUGAAAAGACACUUUAAGCUCCCCCUAGAGGAUUGGAUUAAAACAGUGACUUUAUAAAAACAUUUACUUUCGAUUCUCUUGCUGUCUGCUUGCUCUGGGCCUCUCUAUUCCUGUGGGAAAAACUCAGUGUGACCUUGACUGAUAGAUAACAUUGGAAUGAGUGGUACAAGAAGAAGAGGAAGAGUUAGACAAACAACUCUAACAAAUCUAACCUCAACCUCGCAGACACGUAGAUCAUCUGUGCCUACUUUGCCCUCAGAAGUACAACUUGAAGAAGCUGCCUUGUCACAGGCAAAAGAGGGAGAGGGUGAAGUAGAGCAGUUACAAUUGGAAGAUAUGGCCUCAGGAGCAUCUGUUUCUGUGCUAGAAAAAAUCUUUGAAAAAUUGGAAGCUUUGGACAAGAAAGUAGAUGCGCAAUCAGCAAAGAUUGAUAAAAAUACAGAUUGUCUAAACAAAUUAACUACACAGGUGGGACAGAAUACACAAGCAAUUGGACAGUUGACGGAGGCCUCAGUAGAAAACCGAAAAUUGGCUGAGGAUACCAGACAAAAAUUGGAAAAUUUAGAGCAAGAGGUAAGACCACUCACUAAACAAGUUGGGGAACAUCAGACUUAUCUUUCUAUGAUAGAACUGCGAAAUCGUGAGAAUAAUCUGAGGAUUAGAUCAUUACAAGAGGCAGAAGAAGGAAAUCUAACUGAGUUUUUGACCAAAGAACUUUCCAAGUUCUGGAAUUUGGAAGAAAAGGACUUUAAAAUUGUGUCAGCUUUCAGACUUGGAAGAUUUACAAAGAAGGAGAGGCCCAGGGAUUGUUUGAUUACAUUGAGAUCGAAGGAGGAAAGGGAUAAGAUUUUGGGCCUACAUUACGAAAAGUCACUGGAAGUUUUGGAUAGAAGAAUUGAGAUAUAUAAAGAUAUCCCAAGACAACUGUUGGACCUUAGAGCCGCCUAUUCCGAACUUGCUAAACUAUUAAGGAGCAACGCAAUUCCAUUCAGGUGGGAUUUUCCCCAAGGAUUAUCUUUUACCUUUAGAGCGAGAAAGGUUAAAAUCAGAACAUUGGAAGAGAGAGAUAAAUUUUUGGCUACACACGGAGAGGACCUACAUAAAGGAAUUGAACUACCUUCCGGGCCUGAGGCAAAGCCAGCAUCAAUAUCUCCACCUCGGGAACUUGAAGAUCAAGAGAAGACACCACCCCAGGAGAAAUAACCAGAUAGAUCCAGGAUGUCUCUGCAACUGUUGAGUUGGAAUAUUAAUGGUUGCAAUAUUCCGGAGAAAAGGAAGAAAAUAUUUCAUAUAUUAAAAAAGAACAAUUGGACAUUAUUUGCUUACAAGAAACACAUGUGACGAGGCUCCACAGAAAAGUGUUAAUAAAUAAAAGAUUGGGCCAGGAAUUUAUUUCGUCGGAUAAAGUGAAGAAGAGAGGAGUGGUGAUAUAUGCAAAAGAGAGCCUGUCACCUAAAUUUCUAUUUAAAGAUGAGCAUGGAAGGAUUUUGGCUAUUGAGAUACAAUAUCAAGGAGAGAAACUGCUGAUAUUAGGAAUCUAUGCGCCUAAUGAAGGGAAAUCGGAAUUUUACAAGAAGUUGCAGGGGACAAUGCUGGAUCAUCUGGAUUACAACAACAUCAUAAUGAUGGGAGACAUGAACAGGGUCGUGUCAACUAACAUGGACAAGUCGCAAAGUCAAAACAUCACAAAAGAUGGCAGACUACCUAAAACUUUUUUUGAAAUGACUGACAAUAUGGACUUGAUCGACAUUUGGAGAACAAAGAACCCACUAGGCAGAGAAGGAACAUUCUUUUCUGAAGCCCAACUGACCUGGACAAGAAUCGACCAAAUAUGGAUCUCUAGAGGCCUGGCACCUAGGGUUAGAAAAGUGGAAAUCUGCCCAAAGACCUGUUCUGACCACAACGCAGUAAAGAUGGACAUGACACUACUACCAACUGGAUCCUUUAGAUGGAAGAUGAAUGACAAUUUGUUUAGAGAUCAGGAAAUUACCAAGAAGGCCCAAAAAGUUUUGAAAGAUUAUUUUGAGAUAAAUAUGAACAAUUCGGUGGAAAAAGAAUCGUCUGGGACGCAAGCAAAGCUGUUAUGAGGGGAUUCCUGAUACAACAGAAUGUAGUAAAGAAAAAAACACAAAAUGAGAAAAAAGACAAGAUUUUGGAUAAAAUAAAAGAAUUAGAGAAGAAAUUAAGAGUGAAUCCAAAGUCACAGCCAACUCUGAGAGAAAUUAAACUGUAUCAAACACAGUAUUCUAAAUUGAUAAAUCAGGAAAUUGAAUGGAAGAUCAAAUUAAUGAAACAAAAACGUUUGAGUCGGCGAAUAAAUGUGGAAAACUGCUAUCCUGGCAGUUGAAGAGAAGACAAAGAUUAAACACGGUUACAAAUUUAGAGGUUGAUGGAAGAAACAUUCAGAAUCCGGUGGACAUUAGAAAGUGUUUCCAGAGAUAUUUUAAAAAAUUAUAUACCCAAGGGCCGCAAGACGAAGUUGAGAUUAAACAAUUUUUGCCAAAAAUGGAUUAUCUAAACUGUCACAAGAAAAUAGGACAAUCCUGAACUCUAAAAUAACACGACAGGAGAUUGAACAAGCUAUUCAGAACAUGCAACUUGGCAAAUCUCCAGGGCCAGACGGGCUGACCUCCAAGUAUUACAAGAUACUAAAAGACUAUUUGAUACAACCUUUGAUGGAGGUUAGCAAUGAAAUUAUGGAGGGACGAGGGCACCGGAUUCGUGGAAGGAAGCGUUUAUCACAUUGAUACCAAAGUCAGAAACUGAAAAGACACAACUGAAGAACUACCGUCCCAUCUCCCUUUUAAAUGUGGAUUACAAAAUAUUUGCAGAUAUUUUGGCAAGUAGAUUUAAAAAGUUUUAAAUGAAGUAAUUCAUAAGGACCAGGCCGGUUUUCUCCCAGGUAGACAUUUGUUUGCUAACACAAGGAACAUUAUUGAUAUUUUGGAACUUCUCCAAACUGACAUAAAUACAAAAGCUGUUUUAAUUUUUAUAGAUGCGGAGAAGGCCUUUGAUAACAUUUCUUGGAAAUUUAUGAUGGGAAACUUAAAAGAGAUGGGAGUGGGACGGGGUUUUGAGAAUGGGAUUGAGGCGAUAUAUUCAGAACAGAAAGCAAAACUGAUAGUUAAUAAUGUGGUUACAGAAGAGUUCAAAAUUGAAAAAGGGACACGACAAGGUUGCCCUAUUUCCCCUUUGUUAUUUAUUUCGGUCCUGGAAGUGCUAUUGAACAUGAUUAGAGGGACCAGCUGGUGGAAGGAAUUCAGGUUGGUCAGAAACAAUAUAAAUUAAAAGCUUUUGCAGAUGACCUGGUUUUGACCUUGCAGAAGCCAGAGCCUAGUACGAAAAGAGUACUACAAUUGAUUAAUGAUUUUGGUCGGGUGGCGGGAUUUAAAUUAAACAAACAGAAAACUAAGGUUUUGGGGAAAAAUCUGACUGAGACAGAGUCAGAACGGUUUCAGAAUGAGACGGAACUUAAUGUGGUUAAAAAGUAAAAUACCUAGGGGUAAACAUAACAGCAAAAAUCUAAGUCUAUUUAAGGAUAAUUAUGAAAAAUGUUGGAUAGAAAUUAAGAGAGACUUAGACAGUUGGUCAAAAUUGAAACUUUCUUUGUUAGGCCGAAUUGCUGCGAUUAAGAUGAAUGUAUUGCCAAGAAUGUUGUUUUUAUUUCAAACACUGCAGGUAUUGGACAAAAUGGAGUGCUUUCAGAAGUGGCAGAGAGACAUUUCGAAGUUUGUCUGGCAGGGCAAAAGCCCAGAAUUAAGUUUAAGAUAUUAACCGAUGCUAAACAAAGAGGGGCUUUGCCCUGCCAGACUUAAAGUUGUACUAUGAAGCCGCAGCGUUCUGCUGGCUAAAAGACUGGCUACUUCUUGAAGACACUGAUGUGUUAGAUUUGGAGGGGUUUAACAAUGUUUUUGGAUGGCAUGCAUAUUUAUGGUAUGACAAAGUUAAAGCAAAUAAGGCCUUUAAGAACCAUAUUGUUAGAAAAUCACUGUUUAAUGUCUGGACAAAAUAUAAAGACUUGCUGGAAAAUAAAACACCAAGGUGGCUUUCACCUUUGGAAGCUAAGGCCGAAAAAGACCCAAUAUGGAGGCCAAAUGGCCAAAAUAUUGGGAAAUACUAGAAAAGAUGGAGACAAUUGGAAAUUGCAGAGCUUGGAGAAAAUGAAAGACAAAGUGCGAGAUUGGUUACACUAUGCUCAGAUUAAAGAAGUUUUUAAAAGUGAUAAGAAACUAGGGUUCCAGGUGGAGAAAUCGAAAUUAGAAACAGAAUUGUUAGAACCAAAGACUAAGAUACUUUCAAGGAUGUAUAACUUGCUGUUGGAAUGGAAUACACAGGAUGAAAUGGUUAAAUCGGCCAUGAUAAGGUGGGCACAGGAUAUUGGGUAUAAUAUUAUGUUUGAGGACUGGGAAAGGCUGUGGAGUAAUGGAUUGAAAUUUACUGCAUGUAAUGCUUUGAAAGAAAAUGUAAUGAAAAUGAUUUAUAGAUGGUAUAUGACCCCAGUCAAACUUGCAAAAAUUUACCACCUGUCUGACAACAAGUGCUGGAAAUGCAAAGAGUGUGAAGGAACGUUCUUUCACCUCUGGUGGACAUGCCCUAAAGUGAAGGCGUUCUGGGAAAUGAUUUAUAAUGAAUUGAAAAGGUAUUUAAAUAUACUUUCACUAAGAAACCAGAGGCUUUCCUUUUGGGUAUUGUCAGCCAAGGGGUGGCAAAGAAGGACGAGUCAGUUGUUCUGUAUGCAACAACAGCAGCAAGGAUACUACUCGCAAAACAUUGGAAAACCCAAGAUCUACCCACACUGGAAGAAUGGCAGAUGCAACUGAUAGACUAUAUGCAACUGGCUGAAAUGACUGGCAGAAUCCGUGACCUGGGAGAAGAGAGAAUCGAGGAGGAUUGGAAGAAAUUUAAGAACUACCUACAAAAACAUUGUGAUUUGAUUGAAUGCUGAAUAAGAUGCUGGACUAAAUAACUGAGCACCACUUAACUUAGAAAUUUUUAAGGAAACAAGAAAAAUUGUGAAAGUUUAACUCUUUAUGAGAACUUUAAGAUUAUGAAAUAUCGAAGAGAUAUAAGAAUUUAAAUAAGAUGAUAAAUUGCUGACAAAAUGUUAUAAUGAUGAAGGUGGGAGCGGGAGAUGUGAGGAAGUCCAAAGAAAAUGUGAAAUUAUGUUAAGACGAAUGCUAUAUUGUUUAUUACAUUUAUUCCUAUUGUAAAACCCAAUAAAUUGCUUUAAAAAAAAAAAAAAGAAAGAAAACUUGACGUUUUCAUCCCCAAAAAAGUUUUUGAUUGAGUUUCCACUGCAUUUUAAUGUUUUAAUGUUGUAUUUUAAUCUUGUUUUUUAAGCUGUAUUUCAAUCAAUUGUUUUUAUAUUUGGUGUUAGCCGCCCUGAGACCCUUCUUGGCUGGGGAGGGCGGGGUAUAAAUAAAUUAUUUUAUCAUUAUUAUUAUUAUUAUUAUUAUUAUUAUUAGGUUGGGAGGCAUCAAAUUUUGGCCUCGCACAGGGUGCCAUAUUACCAAGGCCGCAGUAACCCAUGGUUUGGCAACUUCCAAGCUAGAAAUGUACUCUUCUUGGGGCUUCCUUUGAAGACUGUGCAAAAUGUGGCUACCAGAACCAUGAAUGCACCAGUGAGCAUAAUCACAUAAGAUCACCAUUAAAGGGGUUCCAUUGGUUGUCUGUAAUUGAGUGGGCAAAUUCAAGGCCCUGACUUUAACAUAUGAAGUUCCAAACAACUUGGAACCCAAAUAUCCAAAAGUGUGCAUCCUGCUAUCAGUCUGCCUGUGUAUUAAAAUUGAUAGUAGAGGCUCUUGUUGUGGUCCUGCCAUUGAAGCAAGCUCACAACAUGGUCACCUGAGGCAGGGUCUUCUCAGUGGUGGCACCUCACCUGUAGAAAUCCCUUGCAUGGGGUGCCAUAGUUCACCACGACUCCUCUCAUAGCUUCCACAAGCUUGGGUCCAGCAGCAGCAGCCAGUUGUGCCUCUUGGCAUAGCCUCUCCCAGCCAGCAUGCAUAGAGUCCUGCUGCACAUCCUCCUUGUUCUCAAAACACCUUGCAAAAAAAAUCUCUGUGUAAAAGGACAGGGGUUUUUUUUCCUGUGCAACACCAUGUCCAGUAGGGGCUUUUGUCUUGCAGAUGGCUUUUGCAAGACCACCAUCUCCCUCUGCCCUUCUGUCUGGCAAAAAAAUCCAAGCUCAGGCUGUCAGCUCUGAUUAACCCCUAGCACCCAAGAAUCUAGAGAGGGAAAUCUGGCACCCAGGAAUCUGUGGGAUCCCUCUCCCCCCACUAACCCAUAGCAUUAUUAAUGGGUUAUUCCUCUGUUGUGGAUGGCUCUGGGAAGAAGGACAGGAUAUAAAUUGCAAUUAUAAAUAAAACAAAUCUCGAGGUGUGCUGAGAGGUCUGUUUUUGCCCUAUUCAGCUGAUUUAAUGAAGAUAGUUCAACCAUUAGUUCCCAUGGAAACACAUCAUCGCAGCAUCCCAAUGCUAUUAACACUCGUUUCUUCAAGUCCAAAACUCUAUCCAGGUAAGACAGACCAGAGUGAUAAUCCUUUCUGGAGAAAUACGAUAGUAAAACUCAUUAAAGUAUACAUGGGUGGAGAUGGUCCUUAAGAUAUCUCAGCCCAGGCCCAUAAUUUUUAGGGCCUUAACAGUUAAAAUCAGCCAUUUCAGCUGAGCCUGGACACAAAAUGGCAACAAAUGAAGGUUGCACAGUAUCAAAGCAAAAGGUCUUGACCACUGAAUAGUCUUGCAGCUCUAUUAUAAAGCAACUAAAUUUUCUGAAUGUUUUUCUUAGGCAGUACAGUGUGAAACCAGGGAUGACUGCAGAAAAAACCUAGUUCCAGAAAGCAAACAGCUGGCAAGGAGGAUGAUUAAGGGAAUAAAGUUUUAGUGUAUGCUAGGAUGACCUGCUCACUGCCUUGCCUUUUCCACCUGACCUGAAAGGGCAGGACCCUGACUGG